CCUACGGGCGACAGCAGUGGGGAAUAUUGGUCAAUGGAGGAAACUCUGAACCAGCAACGCCGCGUGAAUGAUGAAGGUCUUCGGAUUGUAAAGUUCUUUUCUAAGGGAAGAAGAAAGUGACGGUACCUUAGGAAUAAGCCUCGGCUAACUACGUGCCAGCAGCCGCGGUAAUACGUAGGAGGCGAGCGUUAUCCGGAAUGACUGGGCGUAAAGGGUGCGUAGGUGGUUUGACAAGUUGGUAGCGUAACUCCGAGGCUCAACCUCGGCACUACUGCCAAAACUGUCAGACUUGAGUGCAGGAGAGGCAAUUGGAAUGCGGGGUGUAGCGGUGGAAUGCGCAGAUAUUAGGAGGAACACCGGUGGCGAAGGCGAAUUGCUGGACUGAAACUGACACUGAGGCACGAAAGCGUGGGGAGCAAACAGGAUUAGAUACCCUUGUAGUC
rnacentral:rRNA from 1 species